rnacentral:rRNA from 1 species
GACGAACGCUGGCGGCGUGCUUAACACAUGCAAGUCGAACGGAAAGGCCCUGCUUUUGUGGGGUGCUCGAGUGGCGAACGGGUGAGUAACACGUGAGUAACCUGCCCUUGACUUUGGGAUAACUUCAGGAAACUGGGGCUAAUACCGGAUAGGAGCUCCUGCUGCAUGGUGGGGGUUGGAAAGUUUCGGCGGUUGGGGAUGGACUCGCGGCUUAUCCGCUUGUUGGUGGGGUAGUGGCUUACCAAGGCUUUGACGGGUAGCCGGCCUGGGAGGGUGACCGGCCACAUUGGGACUGAGAUACGGCCCAGACUCCUACGGGAGGCAGCAGUGGGGAGUAUUGCACAAUGGGCGGAAGCCUGAUGCAGCAACGCCGCGUGCGGGAUGACGGCCUUCGGGUUGUAAACCGCUUUCGCCUGUGACGAAGCGUGAGUGACGGUAAUGGGUAAAGAAGCACCGGCUAACUACGUG